GUAAUUUAGGCAACAGUAUGUCGUUGACAAUGUUUAUAAUAUGCGUGAUCUCAAGAUUAAAUUACAGGAUAUCACCAUCUCGCUGAACCAACAGGGAGCCGAUUUUGUUCUCUUUGAAGGAUUUGAUGUUAUAUUUUCUCUGCUCGGAGAAUAUAACAAGAAUGCUACUGUUGACAUGAAGAAUAUAGGUGAAUAUAAU